rnacentral:rRNA from 1 species
AAUGAACGCUGGCGGCAGGCCUAACACAUGCAAGUCGAGCGGGAGCAUCGGGCUUGCUGCUGGAUGCGGCGGCGGACGGGGGGGAAAUGCCCAUGAGUUUGCCUGGUCGUCCGGGAUAACGUCCGGAAACCGGCGCUAAUACUUCAUACGAACAGUGAGCGACAUUGGGGGGGCCUCGGAUCUCUCGGUCUCGGAGGAGCGUAGAAGGGAUUAGAUGGUUGGGAGGGUAAAGGCCUACCAAGGCGACGAAGCGUAACUGGUAUGAGAGGAUGGUCCGCCACUCUGGGAGUGAGACACGGUCCAGACUAUUACGGGAGGCAGCAGUGGGGAAUAUUGGAAAAUCGGCGGAAGCCUGAUCCAGCAAGGCCGGGUGAGUGAUGAAGGCCUUAGGGUUGUAAAGCUCUUUUACCCGGGAUGAUAAUGACAGUACCGGGAGAAUAAGCUCCGGCUAACUCCGUG